AACUUGCACCCAGAUCCACCACUGCCUGUGUCUCUCCAUGGUGUGGGGAGAAAUGUGAACUACUGAACUGUGAUGAAACUGAUUGCAAUGGAAAUGGAGAUUGUACUAAUGGAUCUUGUAAGUGUAAAGCAGGAUGGUAUGGUAGUCUCUGUGAGAAAUCUUGUCCACAUAAUAGAUAUGGUCCUGGUUGUGAAUACUCUUGUUAUUGUAAUGAUAAUGGAGUAUGUAAUCAUGUAACUGGAUCAUGUAUAUGUAAUACAGGAUAUACUGGACCACACUGCAUGAAAUAACAUAGUAUAACACUGAGCUUUGUAACCUGCCAUUUUCAAUCACAAGAAAUAAUUUAUUAUUAAUGAUAAAAAAUAUACUAUAAUAAAAUAAU